AUUGAACGCUGGCGGCAUGCUUUACACAUGCAAGUCGAACGGUAGAGGGGGCAACCCCUUGAGAGUGGCGAACGGGUGAGUAAUGCAUCGGAACGUGCCCAGUCGUGGGGGAUAACGCAGCGAAAGCUGUGCUAAUACCGCAUACGAUCUCUGGAUGAAAGCGGGGGACAGAAAGGCCUCGCGCGAUUGGAGCGGCCGAUGUCAGAUUAGGUAGUUGGUGGGGUAAAGGCUCACCAAGCCAACGAUCUGUAGCUGGUCUGAGAGGACGACCAGCCACACUGGGACUGAGACACGGCCCAGACUCCUACGUGAGGCAGCAGUGGGGAAUUUUGGACAAUGGGCGCAAGCCUGAUCCAGCAAUGCCGCGUGCGGGAAGAAGGCCUUCGGGUUGUAAACUGCUUUUGUACGGAACGAAAAGGUCUGGGUUAAUACCCUGGGCACAUGACGGUACCGUAAGAAUAAGCACCGGCUAACUACGUGCCAGCCGCCGCCGUAA
rnacentral:rRNA from 1 species